CCACAAUAAAACCUUGGCUGCCAUGCUAUUGUAUUAAGGAACAUCAGACCAAAAAGAUAAUGUGUAUGAAAUAUGGGAAUCCACCACUUAAUUACUUCAUAGCAAAAUCAUAUAUUAGGGUCCCAAGUGUAAGGUAUGAGACUUGAAUCCCAUAUUG